rnacentral:rRNA from 1 species
CCUACGGGUGGCAGCAGUCGAGAAUCAUUCACAAUGGGGGAAACCCUGAUGGUGCGACGCCGCGUGGGGGAAUGAAGGUCUUCGGAUUGUAAACCCCUGUCAUGUGGGAGCAAAUUAAAAAGAUAGUACCACAAGAGGAAGAGACGGCUAAAGAUGUGCCAGCAGCCGCGGUAAUACAGAGGUCUCAAGCGUUGUUCGGAAUCACUGGGCGUAAAGCGUGCGUAGGCUGGUUUGUAAGUCGUGUGUGAAAGGCGCGGGCUCAACCCGCGGACGGCCCAUGAUACUGCGAGACUAGAGUACUGGAGGGGGAACCGGAAUUCUCGGUGUAGCAGUGAAAUGCGUAGAUAUCGAGAGGAACACUGGUGGCGAAGGCGGGUUCCUGGACAUUAACUGACGCUGAGGCACGAAGGCCAGGGGAGCGAAAGGGAUUAGAUACCCCAGUAGUC